GAUGAACGCUGGCGGCGUGCCUAAUACAUGCAAGUCGAGCGAACGGACGAGAAGCUUGCUUUUCUGAUGUUAGCGGCGGACGGGUGAGUAACACGUGGAUAACCUACCUAUAAGACUGGGAUAACUUCGGGAAACCGGAGCUAAUACCGGAUAAUAUUUUGAACCGCAUGGUUCAAAAGUGAAAGACGGUCUUGCUGUCACUUAUAGAUGGAUCCGCGCUGCAUUAGCUAGUUGGUAAGGUAACGGCUUACCAAGGCAACGAUGCAUAGCCGACCUGAGGGGGUGAUCGGCCACACUGGAACUGAGACACGGUCCAGACUCCUACGGGAGGCAGCAGUAGGGAAUCUUCCGCAAAGGGCGAAAGCCUGACGGAGCAACGCCGCGUGAGUGAUGAAGGUCUUCGGAUCGUAAAACUCUGUUAUUAGGGAAGAACAUAUGUGUAAGUAACUGUGCACAUCUUGACGGUACCUAAUCAGAAAGCCACGGCUAACUACGUG
rnacentral:rRNA from 1 species